CAGAGGCGUCCGGCGCGGGGAAAAUCUAGCUCGGGGAUUUCAUGCGGCCUAGCUCGGUUCCGCCUCCUCCCCGCGCGGCCCCGGCGGCUGCCCGCACCCCAGCCCCACUCCGGGCCUCCGUGUCUCUCCUGUGAUCGCACUGACAUGGCCGGGGGGUUAGAAUGGAACAAACUGAAGGCCUGAUGAGAGAAAGGGAAAGUUAAGGAUGCUGGAGCAGAACAAUGGAUUUCUCUUUCAUGCGAGGGAUCAUGGGAAACACAAUUCAGCAACCACCUCAACUCAUUGACUCCACCAACAUCCGUCAGGAGGAUGCCUUUGAUAACAACAGUGACAUUGCUGAAGAUGGUGGCCAGACACCCUAGGAAGCUACCUUGCAGCAAGGUUUUCAGUACCCAGCUACAACAGAAGAUCUUCCUCCACUCACAAAUGGCUAUCCAUCAUCAGUCAGCAUGUAUGAACCUCAAACCAAAUACCAGUCGUAUAAUCAAUAUCCUAAUGGGUCAGCCAGUGGCUUUGGUGCAGUUAGAAACUUUAGCCCCACUGACUAUUACCAUUCGGAAAUUCCAAACACAAGACCACAUGAAAUUCUGGAAAAACCUUCCCCUCCACAGCCACCACCUCCUCCUUCGGUACCACAAACGGUGAUUCCAAAGAAGACUGGCUCACCUGAAAUUAAACUAAAAAUCACCAAAACUAUCCAGAAUGGCAGGGAAUUGUUUGAGCCUUCCCUUUGUGGAGACCUUUUAAAUGAAGUACAGGCAAGUGAGCACACCAAGUCAAAGCAUGAAAGCAGAAAAGAAAAGAGAAAAAAAAAGCAACAAGCAUGACUCAUCGAGAUCUGAAGAGCGCAAGUCACACAAAAUCCCCAAAUUAGAACCAGAGGAACAAAAUAGACCAAAUGAGAGGGUUGACAGUGUAGCAGAAAAACCAAGGGAAGAUCCAGUACUAAAAGAGGAAGCCCCGGUUCAGCCAAUACUAUCUUCUCUUCCAACAACCGAAGUGUCCACUGGUGUUAAGUUUCAGGUUGGUGAUCUUGUGUGGUCCAAGGUGGGAACCUAUCCUUGGUGGCCUUGUAUGGUUUCAAGUGAUCCCCAGCUUGAGGUUCAUACCAAAAUUAACACAAGAGCUGCACGAGAAUAUCAUGUCCAGUUUUUUAGCAACCAGCCAGAGAGAGCGUGGGUUCAUGAAAAACGGGUACGGUAGUAUAAAGGUCAUAAACAGUAUGAAGAAUUACUGGCUGAGGCAACCAAACAAGCCAGCAAUCACUCUGAGAAACAAAAGAUUCGGAAACCCCGACCUCAGAGAGAACGUGCUCAGUGGGAUAUUGGCAUUGCCCAUGCAGAGAAAGCAUUGAAAAUGACUAGAGAAGAAAGAAUAGAACAGUAUACUUUUAUCUAUAUUGAUAAACAGCCUGAAGAGGCUUUAUCCCAAGCAGAAAAGAAUGUUGCCUCCAAAACUGAAGUUAAAAAAACCCGACAACCUGGAUCUGUGCUGAAUACUCAACCAGAACAGACCAAUGAAGGGGAGGUGGCCUCCUCACUCUCAAGUACUGAAAUUCGGAGCCAUAGCCAGAGGCGGCACACAAGUGUGGAAGAGAAAGAGCCACCUCCUGUUAAAAUAGCCUGGAAAACUGCGGCAGCAAGGAAAUCCUUACCAGCUUCCAUUACAAUGCACAAAGGGAGCCUGGAUUUGCAGAAGUGUAACAUGACUCCAGUUGUGAAAAUUGAACAAGUGUUUGCUCUUCAGAAUGCUACAGGGGAUGGGAAAGUUAUCGAUCCAUUUGUUUACUCAACAAAGGGAAUUGGUAACAAAACAGAAAUAAGUGUCAGGGGGCAAGACAGGCUCAUAAUUUCUACACCAAACCAGAGAAAUGAAAAGCCAACGCAGAGUGUAUCAUCUCCUGAAGCAACAUCUGGUUCUACAGGCUCAGUAGAAAAGAAGCAACAGAGAAGAUCAAUUAGAACUCGUUCUGAAUCAGAGAAAUCCACUGAGGUCGUGCCAAAGAAGAAGAUCAAAAAGGAGCAGGUUGAAAUAGUUCAUCAGGCUACAGUGAAGACUGGAUUACAGAAAGGGUCGGAGGACCGGGGAGUGCAGGGCUCUGUCAGAUUCAGUGACAGCUCCGUCUCCGCAGCGAUUGAGGAAACUGUGGACUAAGAUUUCUGUACAAUUUCAUCCCAGAAACUCCAGACUUGUAGUCUCCAUGCAAGAUUUCUUCGUCGGCGGCUCGAUAAAAAGUUUCUUUGUUUUCGAUUUUGAUUUUGCCAAUCAUCAUUAUUGGCAUUUUCCUGCCUGGUUUCUUCUUCAAGACUCUGAACAAUUGCUUUAACAUUCAAGUGAUUUUUUUUUUCGGUUUGAGCUGGAUGGGUACAGCUUAAAUCAUGGGUCCAAGCCUGAAAACCACCAUUUAACUUACACUGAUCAAUUUCAACAUGGACUGUUUUUUUUUUUUUUUUUUUAAAUAAAGCAUCAUUAAUGCACAUCUGCAGGGCUUUGCCAAACAGCCCAAACUGUAUACAUUACAAUCAUUAAAAGUUCUUAUUUUUUUUAA